UUAAGUUAUUAAGGGCGCACGGUGGAUGCCUUGGCACUAGAAGCCGAUGAAGGACGUUACUAACGACGAUAUGCUUUGGGGAGCUGUAAGUAAGCUUUGAUCCAGAGAUUUCCGAAUGGGGAAACCCAGCAUGAGUUAUGUCAUGUUAUCGAUAUGUGAAUACAUAGCAUAUCAGAAGGCACACCCGGAGAACUGAAACAUCUUAGUACCCGGAGGAAGAGAAAGAAAAUUCGAUUCCCUUAGUAGCGGCGAGCGAAACGGGAAGAGCCCAAACCAACAAGCUUGCUUGUUGGGGUUGUAGGACACUCUAUACGGAGUUACAAAGGACGACAUUAGACGAAUCAUCUGGAAAGAUGAAUCAAAGAAGGUAAUAAUCCUGUAGUCGAAAAUGUUGUCUCUCUUGAGUGGAUCCUGAGUACGACGGAGCACGUGAAAUUCCGUCGGAAUCUGGGAGGACCAUCUCCUAAGGCUAAAUACUCUCUAGUGACCGAUAGUGAACCAGUACCGUGAGGGAAAGGUGAAAAGCACCCCGGAAGGGGAGUGAAAUAGAACCUGAAACCGUGUGCUUACAAGUAGUCAGAGCCCGUUAAUGGGUGAUGGCGUGCCUUUUGUAGAAUGAACCGGCGAGUUACGAUUUGAUGCAAGGUUAAGCAGUAAAUGUGGAGCCGUAGCGAAAGCGAGUCUGAAUAGGGCGUUUAGUAUUUGGUCGUAGACCCGAAACCAGGUGAUCUACCCUUGGUCAGGUUGAAGUUCAGGUAACACUGAAUGGAGGACCGAACCGACUUACGUUGAAAAGUGAGCGGAUGAACUGAGGGUAGCGGAGAAAUUCCAAUCGAACCUGGAGAUAGCUGGUUCUCUCCGAAAUAGCUUUAGGGCUAGCCUCAAGUGAUGAUUAUUGGAGGUAGAGCACUGUUUGGACGAGGGGCCCCUCUCGGGUUACCGAAUUCAGACAAACUCCGAAUGCCAAUUAAUUUAACUUGGGAGUCAGAACAUGGGUGAUAAGGUCCGUGUUCGAAAGGGAAACAGCCCAGACCACCAGCUAAGGUCCCAAAAUAUAUGUUAAGUGGAAAAGGAUGUGGCGUUGCCCAGACAACUAGGAUGUUGGCUUAGAAGCAGCCAUCAUUUAAAGAGUGCGUAAUAGCUCACUAGUCGAGUGACACUGCGCCGAAAAUGUACCGGGGCUAAACAUAUUACCGAAGCUGUGGAUUGUCCUUUGGACAAUGGUAGGAGAGCGUUCUAAGGGCGUUGAAGCAUGAUCGUAAGGACAUGUGGAGCGCUUAGAAGUGAGAAUGCCGGUGUGAGUAGCGAAAGACGGGUGAGAAUCCCGUCCACCGAUUGACUAAGGUUUCCAGAGGAAGGCUCGUCCGCUCUGGGUUAGUCGGGUCCUAAGCUGAGGCCGACAGGCGUAGGCGAUGGAUAACAGGUUGAUAUUCCUGUACCACCUAUAAUCGUUUUAAUCGAUGGGGGGACGCAGUAGGAUAGGCGAAGCGUGCGAUUGGAUUGCACGUCUAAGCAGUAAGGCUGAGUAUUAGGCAAAUCCGGUACUCGUUAAGGCUGAGCUGUGAUGGGGAGAAGACAUUGUGUCUUCGAGUCGUUGAUUUCACACUGCCGAGAAAAGCCUCUAGAUAGAAAAUAGGUGCCCGUACCGCAAACCGACACAGGUAGUCAAGAUGAGAAUUCUAAGGUGAGCGAGCGAACUCUCGUUAAGGAACUCGGCAAAAUGACCCCGUAACUUCGGGAGAAGGGGUGCUCUUUAGGGUUAACGCCCAGAAGAGCCGCAGUGAAUAGGCCCAAGCGACUGUUUAUCAAAAACACAGGUCUCUGCUAAACCGUAAGGUGAUGUAUAGGGGCUGACGCCUGCCCGGUGCUGGAAGGUUAAGAGGAGUGGUUAGCUUCUGCGAAGCUACGAAUCGAAGCCCCAGUAAACGGCGGCCGUAACUAUAACGGUCCUAAGGUAGCGAAAUUCCUUGUCGGGUAAGUUCCGACCCGCACGAAAGGCGUAACGAUUUGGGCACUGUCUCAACGAGAGACUCGGUGAAAUCAUAGUACCUGUGAAGAUGCAGGUUACCCGCGACAGGACGGAAAGACCCCGUGGAGCUUUACUGUAGCCUGAUAUUGAAAUUCGGCACAGCUUGUACAGGAUAGGUAGGAGCCUUUGAAACGUGAGCGCUAGCUUACGUGGAGGCGCUGGUGGGAUACUACCCUAGCUGUGUUGGCUUUCUAACCCGCACCACUUAUCGUGGUGGGAGACAGUGUCAGGCGGGCAGUUUGACUGGGGCGGUCGCCUCCUAAAAGGUAACGGAGGCGCUCAAAGGUUCCCUCAGAAUGGUUGGAAAUCAUUCAUAGAGUGUAAAGGCAUAAGGGAGCUUGACUGCGAGACCUACAAGUCGAGCAGGGUCGAAAGACGGACUUAGUGAUCCGGUGGUUCCGCAUGGAAGGGCCAUCGCUCAACGGAUAAAAGCUACCCCGGGGAUAACAGGCUUAUCUCCCCCAAGAGUUCACAUCGACGGGGAGGUUUGGCACCUCGAUGUCGGCUCAUCGCAUCCUGGGGCUGUAGUCGGUCCCAAGGGUUGGGCUGUUCGCCCAUUAAAGCGGUACGCGAGCUGGGUUCAGAACGUCGUGAGACAGUUCGGUCCCUAUCCGUCGUGGGCGUAGGAAAUUUGAGAGGAGCUGUCCUUAGUACGAGAGGACCGGGAUGGACAUACCUCUGGUGUACCAGUUGUCGUGCCAACGGCAUAGCUGGGUAGCUAUGUGUGGACGGGAUAAGUGCUGAAAGCAUCUAAGCAUGAAGCCCCCCUCAAGAUGAGAUUUCCCAACUUCGGUUAUAAGAUCCCUCAAAGAUGAUGAGGUUAAUAGGUUAGAGGUGGAAGCAUGGUGACAUGUGGAGCUGACGAAUACUAAUCGAUCGAAGACUUAAUCAA
rnacentral:rRNA from 1 species